AACAUAGGGGGCAAGCGUUGUCCGGAAUCACUGGGCGUAAAGGGCGCGUAGGUGGUCUGUUAAGUCAGAUGUGAAAUGUAAGGGCUCAACCCUUAACGUGCAUCUGAUACUGGCAGGCUUGAGUGCGGAAGAGGCAAGUGGAAUUCCUAGUGUAGCGGUGAAAUGCGUAGAUAUUAGGAGGAACACCAGUGGCGAAGGCGACUUGCUGGGCCGUAACUGACGCUGAGGCGCGAAAGCGUGGGGAGCAAACAGG
rnacentral:rRNA from 1 species